GACGAACGCUGGCGGCGUGCUUAACACAUGCAAGUCGAGCGGAGCGGCGAACGGGUGAGUAAGGCGUGAGUAACUGCCCCCCUCUCUGGGAUAACAGUUGGAAACGGCUGCUAAUACCGGAUAGGGGGGGAUGACUAGCGGCCUAUCAGCUUGUAGGUGGGGUAGUGGCCUACCAAGGCGACGACGGGUAGCCGACCUGAGAGGGCGACCGGCCACAUUGGGCUGAGAUACGGCCCAAACUCGAACGGGAGGCAGCAGGGGGGAAUAUUGCGCAAUCAGGGAACCCCUGAUGCAGAGACGCCGCGUGCGGGAUGACGGCCUUCGGGUUGUAAACCGCUUUCAGCCAUGACGCGGUAGUGGCAGAAGAAGCACCGGCUAACUACGUGCCAGCCGCCGCGGUAAUAC
rnacentral:rRNA from 1 species